UCAAGUAGCUUGGGGCCUCGCCAGAGAAUGGGCCCAAAGGGCCAUGGUAGAGGCUGCCAUUUUUGAAUGAUGGUGAUGAGCUUGUGUUUAUGUUAAUGUGGGGAGUAGUGAUUGGAAAAGAUGAGAGAUUCAAUGAACAUGGGCUGGUAUUUAUAUUGGGAUGUAGUGGUUAGUGUUCUUAUCUCAUGCAUCUGAAGCUACAAAUCUCAUUGGGUGUUGAAGAUUUUUUCAUAUCCCACUUGUCACCCAAUCCACUAAAUAGAUUAGAUUCUUCUAAGAGUUGUAUCCAACUUGAGGAUUCUAGUAGAUAUAUGUACUGAUUCUAUUGGUUAAUGUUAUUUCACGUAGGGAAAUGUCAUAAAUUAUGAAGUUACUCUUCACUGUCUUCUUUUGCCAUGGCUUGAG